GGAGAGGUGGCCGAGUGGCUUAAGGCGCACGCUUGGAAAGCGUGUUUAGGAGAAAUCUUAACAAGGGUUCGAAUCCCUUUCUCUCCG
rnacentral:tRNA from 1 species